rnacentral:rRNA from 1 species
UACGUAGGGUGCGAGCGUUGUCCGGAAUUAUUGGGCGUAAAGAGCUCGUAGGCGGUGUGUCACGUCGGCCGUGAAAACCUGCAGCUUAACUGUGGGCUUGCGGUCGAUACGGGCAUCACUGGAGUUCGGCAGGGGAGACUGGAAUUCCUGGUGUAGCGGUGAAAUGCGCAGAUAUCAGGAGGAACACCGGUGGCGAAGGCGGGUCUCUGGGCCGAUACUGACGCU